rnacentral:rRNA from 1 species
CCUACGGGAGGCAGCAGUCGAGAAUCAUUCACAAUGGGGGAAACCCUGAUGGUGCGACGCCGCGUGGGGGAAUGAAGGUCUUCGGAUUGUAAACCCCUGUCAUGUGGGAGCAAAUUAAAAAGAAAGUACCACAAGAGGAAGAGACGCCUAACUCUGUGCCAGCAGCCGCGGUAAUACAGCGGUCUCAAGCGUUGUUCGGCAUCACUGGGCGUAAAGCGUGCGUAGGCUGUUUCGUAAGUCGUGUGUGAAAGGCGCGGGCUCAACCCGCGGACGGCACCUGAUACUGCGAGACUAGAGUAAGGGAGGGGGAACCGGAAUUCUCGGUGUAGCAGUGAAAUGCGUAGAUAUCGGGAGGAACACUCGUGGCGAAGGCGGGUUCCUGGACAUUAACUGACGCUGAGGCACGAAGGCCAGGGGAGCGAAAGGGAUUAGAUACCCUUGUAGUC